GGCCUCGUGGCGCAACUGAAUAGCGCAUCAGAUUUCGGCUCUGAGGGUUGGGGGUUUGAAUCCCUCCGGGGUCA
rfam:Maribacter dokdonensis DSW-8 contig9, whole genome shotgun sequence.